AUGGGCGACGACAGACUCUGUGGCCACCCCAGACCCGUGGAAACCCUCGACAUCUGUUUGGGAGACAACCUGCAACCCCACUCGGAAGCCCACCUAGGGGAGACCUGUAGCCACCCUGAGCCUCUCGAACCUCACGGGGAGCAGACGUGGGCCUCUGACCCUCCUGAUGCUGUGAGGCCUGAUGUUUGUCCCCAGGGCUCCAGCCCAGAGCCCAUGGACAACCAGCCUCUGGGGAGCCCAGGGCAGAGCCAGAGCACGUCCACGCAGGUGGUGUUCUGGGCAGGGAUCCUGCAGGCCCAGAUGUGCGUGCUAGACCUGGAGGAGGAGCUGGAGAAGACAGAAGGGCUCAGAGCUGAGUUGAGAUGCUGCAUUCCCACGGCCCCUGCCGACCUCCCCACUUUUCCCUCCAGCCCAGUUGGCCCCCGGAACUCGGGCCUCCUCCCCAGCCCACCCCCGGAUGCAAAUGAGGCCUCGGAGGACGAUAGCAGUGGGCCAGAAGGGGAGCCCCAGAAGCCAGCAUGGCCGAGGGAGGGCACGCUGGACUUGUCUCCUGAGUGGAGUGCCGAGGAGGAAAGCAUCUUCUUUGACAACCCGCUUUUCCUGGAGAGCCCUUGCUCGGACACUAGUGCAUCUGAAACGCACUUUUCCUGGGGCUUCUCGGACUCCUAUGUAGAUGUGAGGACUGGGUCCCAGAGCCCACAGACCCUGGAGCCUCCACCCUCAGAAGGCAGAGUGCCCUGGGAGCUGGGCGGUGAGCCGGAUUUGGGGGAGAGCACAGCAGAGUCCAGCGGGCACACCACCCCUCCAUUCCCUGUGCCCACCUACAGGCCACACUCUUUCUCCUGGGUCAUGGUGGACACCCCCGAGGGGGCUCCCGCAGCACCUUCCAACAGCCUUGACCCUGCCUUGCCCGCAGCAUCCUGUGUGGACAAAACACUGAGCUGGGAGACAGAACAUGUGGAAUAUAACGGCAGCCCCGCCACACAUCCAGUGCAACCUUGGGCUGUUCCCUGGCUCUGCCAGGCCCCUUGGCCCGCAGCCUACCCCUCACCCCAUGCCAGCUUCAUUCCAUGCUCUUUCUCAGGUGACAAGGAUACAGAGUGUGUCCAGGAGUCUGCUCCCUGCACCGUGACCCCUGGCCACCCCUGGGGGAGCCCAGCCUCUUCGCCGGAGCCCAGCAGCCCUGAGUCUGGGGUCAGAGGCCCCAACUCCCUGCCCAGCCCCGUCUCCUCCCGGGAAGGCAGCCUGCGGCUGCAGGGCCACCCCCCAGGCAGUGUUCUUCCCGAGUGGACACUAGAUGCUCCAAGCCCUUCAUUCCUGGAGACAGAUGGGGCAGAGCCAGGUUCCCUGGAAAAAGAGGAGGCAGGAGAGGCCCCAACCCAAGGGAAGGAAGUAAAGUUAAGCCCCGCCAGGACUGCGGAGGCCGGAGCCAGCCAGCCUGACGCUUGCCUGACUUCUGCAAAAACGCUUCCUGGGAGCCCUAUGCCCCAAGUGCAACCCCCAGAGGAAGGCCAGAGGCUCCCGGCUGGAGACAAGCUGGCGAAUGGCGUCAGGACUGACAAGGUGGCCUGGAACUUGGCCUCUCGCCUCUAUCACCUGGAGGGCUUCCGGAAGUCUGAAGUGGCUGCCUACCUGAGGAAGAACAAUGACUUUAGCAGGGCCGUGGCUGAGGCGUACCUGUCCUUCUUCCAGUUCGGAGGCCAGAGCCUGGACCGUGCACUCCGGGGCUUCCUCCAGGCCCUGGUGCUCAGUGGGGAGACCCAGGAACGAGAGCGGAUCCUCUACCAGUUCUCCAAGCGCUUCCAUCACUGCAACCCCGGGCUUUUCUCCUCAGUAGAUUGCGUGCACACCUUGACCUGCGCCAUCAUGCUCCUUAACACGGACCUGCAUGGACAGAACAUUGGGAAGAGCAUGAGCUGCCAGGAAUUCAUAACCAACCUGAAUGGCCUGCGGGACGGCGGGAACUUCCCCAAAGAACUGCUCAAGGCCCUCUACUGGUCUAUCCGAAGUGAGAAGCUCGAGUGGGCCGUGGAUGAAGAAGACACAGCCAGGCCCGAGAAGGCCCAGCCGUCUCCCCCAGCUGGCAAGAUGAGCAACCCUUUCCUCCAGCUGGCCCAGGACCCCACGGUGCCCACCUACAAGCAGGGCUUCCUGGCCCGGAAGAUGCACCAGGAUGCGGAUGGCAAGAAGACGCCAUGGGGUAAGCGUGGCUGGAAGAUGCUCCACACCUUACUUCGAGGGAUGGUCCUCUACUUCCUGAAGGGAGAGGACCACGCCCUUGAUGGGGAGAGUUUGGUGGGGCAGAUGGUGGAUGAGCCGGUGGGGGUGCACCACUCACUGGCCACCCCUGCCACCCACUACACCAAGAAGCCACAUGUCUUCCAGCUGCGCACGGCCGACUGGCGCCUCUACCUCUUCCAGGCACCCACUGCCCAGGAGAUGACUUCCUGGAUCGCGCGCAUCAAUCUAGCUGCCGCCACGCACUCAGCUCCGCCUUUCCCUGCCGCGGUGGGCUCCCAGCGCAAAUUCGUCCGUCCCAUCCUGCCCGUGGGCCCAACCCAGGGCUCCCUGGAGGAGCAGCAUCGAUCCCACGAGAACUGCCUGGACGCUGCCUCUGACGACCUGCUGGAUCUGCAGAGGAACUUACCCGAGCGGCGAGGCCGCAGCCGCGAGCUGGAAGACUACCGCUUGCGGAAGGAGUACCUGGAGUACGAGAAAACCCGCUAUGAGACCUACCUACAGCUGCUUGUGGCCCGUCUACACUGCCCGUCGGAAGACCUGGACCUGUGGGAGGAGCAGCUGGGGAGGGAGGCUGGAGGCCUGCAGGAGCCCAAGCCCAGCCUGAAGAAGUCCCACUCCAGCCCGUCGCUGCACCAGGAUGAGGCCCCCACCACGGCCAAGGUCAAGCGCAACAUCUCAGAGCGCAGAACCUACCGGAAGAUCAUCCCCAAACGGAACCGCAAUCAACUGUGAAACCAGGGUCACCUCACCAACUACCCACCGCGGCCUGGGCCUGCGGUGGAUUUGGGAUGAAACCCUAGGAAUAGCCUUAUAUCAUCGGGUCCGUGCUGAGGAUGGGGCCCUGCCUCUUCCCUGUGGAAGGAUACGCUAGUGUGGUCCCCCCUUCCUUCCCUCACUCACCACACUGGAGUUCUCCUGAUACUGUUGCCCCCACCCCGGCUGCUCCCAAGAGAGGACAGAGGUCAAAGACUUGACUCAGCUCCCACAGUUCAUCCCAUUCUACCCUCCAUCCCUCCAGAAGCCACAGAGGACACCUUUCCUGGACCUGGGGAGUUGCUCGGCUCUCUGUCUUUGAGUCAGAGGCCCUGUGAGCUCCCCCAUCCUCAGGGACAGAGACCAGGGCCGUAGAGACCUUGGCACAGACAGGUUAGGGAAGCUGCAGCACUGGGAGCGGUCUUGCUCUGGAAAUCAGGUGACUUGCUGGAAGAGGUCCUGGGAGACCCCAGAUGGGCCCUGUCCACUGCGGGGAACAGCCUUCUGGGCAGGACCAGAGACUCGGCAAGUUCAAGGGCUCAGUGAGGCUGGCUCUGGGGCCCCCUGCCUUUGUUUGGUCUUCCCUACAUCCUGCACGUAUAGGGGGCAGAUGAGAGAGGCCUUGCCUCCCAUGGCCAAUGGCUGAUCGUCAGAGUGGAACCAACGGUGGUCAGCGAGGGCUGUAAGGGGAGAGGGUGCCCAGAGUUCAGUAGAGAGCCCUGUAACAAGGGCCUUUGCCACCCCAGAGCAGGGAAGGAGGUGCUCCAGGUUUGGGGAGGAUAAGGGUAAGAGGUGGUGACGCAUGCCGUGUCCCCUGGGGGCUCUGGAGAGUUGUGAGGGGCCUUGAAGGCCUGGCUCCCUCCCCACAAACCCCUCCCCUGGAACCUCCAGGACUCACUCAGGGACCCCUUCCCUCCCUCAGCCUGCUCCCAGGGGCCCUUUCCACCCUCCCUGGGAAGCCCCCUUGUGCUCCCUUUGGCCGCAUCCCAGCUGGGCUGUUCUCCGGACACUUGAGGACCCGAGGCUCUGCCUGUGGGAAGGAGGCCGGGCCGCCAAGCAGCCACCAUUGUCUCUGUUCAGCCAAGUGUGAGAGCCGGCUGCCUGCCAAAAGGGGCCUCUCGCCACCCGCCUGCUGGCUGACGCAUGCACGGCCUCUCCAGCCUUCCUGCCGCCCUGCCCUCCUCUUCGUGCCUGUAACCAACACGGGGGCCUGCAACUCCACCAGGUGGGGCUGGCACUUGAGGGUCACCAACAAGUGUCUGUCCAUGGCUGGGCCACGCACCCAGUGGGUACACAAUAAAUACAGGCCAGUAAAGAAGGAGGUGUGUGCCAGUGAGGGGGUUGGGAGGGGCAGGCAGCUGUGGGCAGCUGAGGCCACCGUCUGGCACCUGCCUGAGGGUGGCAGGCUGGGUUUCCUUUGCCGUGUGUGUGCAUGUGCGUGUCUGUGUGUGUGGGUCUGUGUGUGCAUGUAUGUAUCUGUGUGCGUGUGCAUGUCUGUGAAUGUGUAGCAUGCUAAUCGUGUGCAGGAGUCACAUAGGCUGUCACAGCGGGAGGGGACCUCAGAAUCAUUGAUUCAUCCACUCAUGGGUUCAUUCUUUCACUUCUCCAAUAAUAUUAAGUACCUUUAUGGGCCAGUACUGUGAGAUUCAGGCAUGAAUCAAGCAUGUCCCUGGCCUCUAGGAGAGGACCAUCCUGUUCUCUGGCGCCCAACUGACAGUAUAGAGUGGCACUGGAGACAUUUGCAUCCUACGCCCAGGAAUCUGGAUCCAGUAGGUCUGGGUCAGAGGCACCAACGGGAGUUUUUAAGGCUCCAUGGGCCACUCUGAUGGGCAGAGGCCAAUUGUCUCAUUUGAUUGGGGUGGUAUACUAGCGCCGUGCGGACGUGACUUGGCCCACAAAUGAUGCUUACAGGCUGAACCGCUGUGAGUGGGUUAUUUGACCUCACUGACCUGUAUCCUUAUUUCCAAAACCAGAAUAAAAGGCAGAGGUUUGUUUGCAUGC
ensembl:lncRNA pleckstrin and Sec7 domain containing 4